GGACACUAGCGGUGAGUCCCCUAAAGAUGAAUGGGAGCCUCUUCACCCGAUCUCCAUUAAACCUCGCUGUUGAAAACACUUGGAAAAAUGGUGGAAUUUGUAUGUUCGCGAGAGAUAAAUGUUGGUGUGUCAACAAUCACUUAUUCGCUGGAACAGAAUAUCUGAAGAGCAAAGCCAAGAUUUGGAUGUGAUUUUAUAACAGGGCGACCUGUGCCCGUUGAUUGGUUCAAUGUUGAAUAUGUAUCAGUCAUCUGGGGGGGAUACACAAAGGGGUUUCUGAUGGAUGUGAUUUCUGGGAUGAUACCUUUACUGGAUACAUACGUUGGAAAGUUGUAUUCUUGUGGAGAAGACCACACACAGCUGAGAAUCUCCCAACAUGUUCGAUUUCUGAAUUGCAUCAGCAGGAGACACCUUUCAUCAUGUAGACCUCGGAUGGCUACAGCGUCAGAGGGAGAUGACCCAAACAGCAAGCUUCUACAUUUAGGAAGUGGACACGAGCAGUGGGACAUGAACUGCUCAAACAGCCUCGUCAGUUCCCCCGAAGAGGAAAGGGAACCUCUUCACCUAAUCUCCAUUAAACCUCGAUUCUGCAAUCACUUGGAAACUGAUGGAUGUCGUUCUUCACGGGAGAUAAAUACUGGUGUGUCAGCAAUCAUUUAUUUGCUGGAACAGGAUAUCCGAAGAGCAAAGCCAAGAUUGGGAUGUGGUUUUGUAACAGGGCGACCUGUGCCUAUUGAUUGGUUCAAUGUUGAAUAUGUAUCAGUCAUCUGGGGGGAUACACAAAGGGGUUUCUGAUGGAUGUGAUUUCUGGGAUGAUACCUUUACUGGAUACAUACGUUGGAAAGUUGUAUUCUUGUGGAGAAGACCACAACACAGCUGAGAAUCUCCCAACACGUUCGAUCUCCGAAAGCAUCAGCAGGAGACACCUUUCAUCAUGUAGACCUCGGGUGGAUACAGUGCUGGUACUGCAGAGCAAGGAGGUUCAAUCAACACACUUCAAGAUCACAAAGGAUUCUGUUUCUCCUUGAUAUGUAAAGGCACCUUCUGGUCAUAAAGCAGUAAGGUAGUAAGUGGUAAGAAGUGGGAUUUUGUGAGAGUCAGGAUGCGGUGUUUGAGACAGUCCUGACACUGAGCAUCAAAUCCAACACAGUUUGGAAAUUAAAUUAGUUCACCCUCUGGUAACAUUGCUCUCCCUUUAUUCUUGCUCGUUGAUGUGCAAUGAUAUAAAAUUAUUCUUAAUGGGUCACACUACCAUCUAAUCAGCUGAUGGUGUUUUUAAUAUAUCAUUAUUCCGUGUGGUUCAGGGACUAUAUUUAGAUUCACCAGGAUGACAUUGUGCCUCACAUAACCAGUUGGUCUCGACAAAACAGUGACAUUUUUCUCUGCCCUGCUCCCCUGCUGAUGUUGUUGUAACUAAGACACGGACCUUCUCAGGCAGCUGGCCCUGUUCUUGUCCCCUCCUGAAGUCCACACAUGAGCACUGUCCAGUGGGUAGUAAACCGUUAUGGGAAUCCUGUCCACUGCCACCAAGUCCAAUGAUCAGAUUGCUGCCCCUUGGCCUGGCUGAUAUCAGAUCAACCCAGUCUGAACUGGAAAUGCUGAAAUUGUGUUUUUUCUCUUUCUGUAGGGAAAUGGAUACCAGCAGUGGGACAUGAACUGCUCAAACAGCAUCAUCAGUUCCCCCAAAGAGGAAAGGGAACCUCUUCACCCGAUCUCCGUUAAAUCUCGAUUCUGCAAUCAUUUGAAAAAUGGUGAGGAUUACUUCUGACAAAAAGUCACAGACCUGAAAUAUAAACUCUGUUUCUAUCUCUCCACAGAUGCUGCCUGGCCUGUGAAAUGCUUCUAGCAAGUUCUCUCUUCAUGAAACAUCUUUUCUUUGUUCAUGGGAAAUAAAUACUGGUGUGUCAACAAUCAUUUGUUUGCUGGAACAGGAUAUCCGAAGAGCAAAGCCAAGAUUGGGAUGUGGUUUUGUAACAGGGUGAUCUGUACCCAUUGAUUGGUUCAAUGUUGAAUAUGUAUCAGUCAUCUGGGGGGAUACACAAAGGGGUUUCUGAUGGAUGUGAUUUCUGGGAUGAUACCUUUACUGGAUACAUACGUUGGAAAGUUGUAUUCUUGUGGAGAAGACCAUGCACAGCUGAGAAUCUCCCAACACGUUCAAUCUCCGAAUUGUAACAAGCAUCAGCAGGAGACACCUUUCAUCAUGUAGACCUCGGAUGGAUACAGUGUCAGAGGGAGAUGACCCAAACAGCAAGCUUCUACAUUGAGGGAGAUGGAUACCAGCAGUGGGACAUGAACUGCUCAAACAGCCUCAUCAGUUCCCCCAAAGUGGAAAGGGAACCUCUUCACCUGAUCUCCAUUAAACCUCGAUUCUGCAAUCACUUGGAAAACUGGUGAGGAUUACUUCUGACAGAACGUCACAGACCUGAAAUAUAAACUCUGUUUUUCUCUCUCUCCGCAGAUGCUGCCUGGCCUGUGGAAUGAUUCCAGUACAUUCUCUCUUCAUGAAACGUCAUUUCUUUGUCAUGAAUGUGUCGACGGUCAGUUACUUGCUGGAACAGGAUAUCCGAAGAGCAAAGCCAAGAUUGGGAUGUGGUUUUGUAACAGGGCGACCUGUGCCUGUUGAUUGGUUCAAUGUUGAAUAUGUAUCAGUCAUCUGGGGGGAUACACAAAGGGGUUUCUGAUGGAUGUGAUUUCUGGGAUGAUACCUUUACUGGAUACAUACGUUGGAAAGUUGUAUUCUUGUGGAGAAGACCACAACACAGCUGAGAAUCUCCCAACACGUUCGAUCUCUGAAUUGUAACAAGCAUCAGCAGGAGACACCUUUCAUCAUGUAGACCUCGGGUGGAUACAGUGCUGGUACCGUAGAGCAAGGAGGUUCAAUCAACACACUUCAAGAUCACAAAGGAUUCUGUUUCUCCUUGAUAUGUAAAAGCACCUUUGGUCAUAAAGCAGAAAGGUGGACACAGAGUGGUGUAUGGUGCAGAAUGACCACACGGGCUGUACAUGGAGCACUGGAGGUAUACAAUCAUACAAGACACUGGAGCGGAGCAUUGCCUAAGCACUGCUGGGCCUGAAUGAUCGAAGGCAAUGGUAUUGAGUACGCAGCCCACUCAUUGUCCAUCUCUGACUCACCAGCUCGCACUGUGAACCUCCCUUGCUUGCCUCCUUCCCCUCACCAACCCUCUCUCAAGCUCUCUCUUUGGCUUCAGGAAAGGAAGGGAUAAGUGAGACGGAGAUCAGAGGGCAGCAGUGAGCACGAGAGCGAGGCAGUGAGUGAGAGGGUCUGAGCAGAGAUGGAUGUGACUGAACCUUGUGCAGGCUAAGAAGUCUUGGCUCUGGGCUAGACAGGUGGCAAGGACCCUAUAUUGCCUCUAUUUGAAAAGGCUCACCACACUUUAUGCUCUUCAGGCACCCAACAGGCCAGCCCCACCAGUAACAGAAUGAGACUUAUGACUGAGUCACUGUGUGAGAGUCAGCGUGCAGGACUCAGUCACAAGCAUAAGAGAUUCAGCGAGCAGGAGAAGAGCGCUGAGUGAAAGUGAGCCAGACAGAGGCAUCAAGAGGGGGCAAGUGUUAAGUUGUUGGAGCUGGGUGGUGUUAAGUUGUUGGAGCUGCCCCCAUCCAGGCAAGUGGGGAAUAUUCCAUCACACUCCUGACUUGUGCCUUGUGAAUGGUGGACAGGCUUUGUGGAGUCAGGAGGGAAGUUACUCACCACAGUAUUCCCAACCUCUGACCCUGCUCUUGCAGCUACAGUUAUUGAUUAAUGGUGAUGCACAUUAAGGGGUGAGAUAUGGUGAACAGGGAGGGGCUGGCAAAUAGGGAAUGGGCGGGAUGAGGGGAAUGCUGUGACUAGAGAGAGUGCAUUGAGCAGGGAACAGGAGAGAUGGUGAGCGAGGAGAGGAUGUGAGAUGCUGGGUGGGUAGAGAGGGGAUGGUGAGUGUGGAGGCCUCAGGGGGUGGAAAGCAAGUGGGAUGUGUUAGUAAGUGGGUAACACUUAGUUAGUUAUGAAAUAGAUUGGGAAUUAUAAUUGGUGUACUGUGGACAGUUUCUAAUGUUUCCAUCUUUUAUGUUUUUUUUGUACC